GAUGAACGCUGGCGGCGUGCUUAACACAUGCAAGUCGAACGGGAAUUAUUUUAUUGAAACUUCGGUCGAUUUAAUUUAAUUCUAGUGGCGGACGGGUGAGUAACGCGUGGGUAACCUGCCUUAUACAGGGGGAUAACAGUCAGAAAUGGCUGCUAAUACCGCAUAAGCGCACAGAGCGGCAUGGCUCAGGGGGAAAAACUCCGGUGGUAUAAGAUGGACCCGCGUUGGAUUAGCUGGUUGGUGGGGUAACGGCCCACCAAGGCGACGAUCCAUAGCCGGCCUGAGAGGGUGAACGGCCACAUUGGGACUGAGACACGGCCCAGACUCCUACGGGAGGCAGCAGUGGGGAAUAUUGCACAAUGGGGGAAACCCUGAUGCAGCGACGCCGCGUGAAGGAAGAAGUAUCUCGGUAUGUAAACUUCUAUCAGCAGGGAAGAUAGUGACGGUACCUGACUAAGAAGCCCCGGCUAACUACGUG
rnacentral:rRNA from 1 species